CGGGGUGUAGCGCAGUCCGGUUAGCGCAUCUGGUUUGGGACCAGAGGGUCGCAGGUUCGAAUCCCGCCACCCCGA
rnacentral:tRNA from 1 species